rnacentral:rRNA from 1 species
GACAGAGGGUGCAAACGUUGUUCGGAUUUACUGGGCGUAAAGCGCGUGUAGGCGGCCUUGCAAGUCGGACGUGAAAUCCCCAGGCUCAACCUGGGAACUGCGUCUGAUACUGGAUGGCUUGAAUUCGGGAGAGGGAUGCAGAAUUCCAGGUGUAGCGGUGAAAUGCGUAGAUAUCUGGAGGAAUACCGGUGGCGAAGGCGGCAUCCUGGACCGACAUUGACGCUGAGGAGCGAAAGCUAGGGGAGCAAACGGG